CGGACGGGUGAGUAACACGUGGAUAACCUACCUAUAAGACUGGGAUAACUUCGGGAAACCGGAGCUAAUACCGGAUAAUAUUUUGAACCGCAUGGUUCAAAAGUGAAAGACGGUCUUGCUGUCACUUAUAGAUGGAUCCGCGCUGCAUUAGCUAGUUGGUAAGGUAACGGCUUACCAAGGCAACGAUGCAUAGCCGACCUGAGGAGGGUGAUCGGCCACACUGGGACUGAGACACGGUCCAG
rnacentral:rRNA from 1 species